UAGAUUCUUUAACAAAAAUAAAAAAACAAAAAUUAAUCAUAUAAGUGGUGCCAAUAGUGUCCCCUUAGGUACAAUAUGUGUGGCCCGGGUAGACAGAGAAGCAAAAAGAAUCAUGAGUAAGCAUAACAUGGCAAGCAAGUUUAGAUUAGAGAAACCUUUUCUUUCACUUUCCUAUGAUUUUCCCUUUCCUUUGCUGCUAAUUACUAAUACCAUGUCAUGACUCAUGUGUUUUCUGACUUCUCUCUUUACCAUUAGAUUUCUCUUCUUUACUCAUCAUUCUUACUUGGAUGAUACCUUCUUGUGGCAAUAAAGGAAUCCAACAGAACACAAACAUUAGACAACCGUAUCAGAAAGUGAUAACAUAACACCAUUCUUUUAAUGAUAACUUUAUUAUCACUUUUUCUUGGAGCAGCACUAAUAAUUAUAUAUACGGUUGUCACAUAGUUGUCACUUGUGGAUACCAAUUGUUAUGUUUUCCAAUUAAUUUUGCAUUUGCAUUCCAACAAACAAAAUUAAUUUUGUCCUAGAGACAUAGUAGUAUAUUUGUAUUUUUAAAUCGGAUUUUUAUUAUUGUACUAAGUUAUAGCUAAGUUAUAACAUCAUUCAUAAAACUAUGCAGGAUUCACAUGCAUAGGCAGCAUUCAACUUUGUUGAGAGGGUCAAGUAGUUUUAAGUUGUGACUUAAGCACUCGAGCAGGAAGUUAUUUUGAAUAAAAUAGCUUUUCUAAAGGUUUUGUUGUUUGCUCGAAGAUUGCUAAAGAACAAAUUGUCAUUUAAGGAUAACUUGUUGCGUUGUUGAAUAAAUCAGUUGAAUUCUGUGUUAUGUGUAGGUGAUUAUGGAGUCACUGAAACCUUCGAGCACUUGUUUUUCAAUUGUAAAUUGCCUACUUCUCUUUGGAGUAAAAUCAUGCAUUGGUUGGUUAUAUGUUGUCAUGUUUCAAAUUCAGCAAAUGAACAUGCUAUGCAAUUUAUAUAAUGCUAGCUUAUCUGUAUAGAAA
rnacentral:lncRNA from 1 species